rnacentral:rRNA from 1 species
UGGCUCAGAACGAACGCUGGCGGCGCGCUUAAUACAUGCAAGUCGAGCGAGAACCAGGGCUUCGGCCCUGGGGACAGCGGCGAACGGGUGAGUAACACGUGGGUAAUCAACCCCCGACACCGGGAUAGCCCGGGGAAACCCGGAUUAAUACCGGAUGCCCCGUCCGGCUCUCGAGCCGGCCGGAAAAGGGUAGCUUCGGCCUCCGGUCGGGGACGAGCCCGCGGCGGAUUAGCUUGUUGGUGAGGUAAAGGCUCACCAAGGCGACGAUCCGUAGCUGGUCUGAGAGGACGAUCAGCCACACUGGGACUGAGACACGGCCCAGAGCUCCUACGGGAGGCAGCAGUGGGAUCU